AUACGAUUCUAAACUCGAAACUCCAUUUUUGCUCCUAUAGUCCCUCACCGCACACUAUAAAAAAACUCUCCUCCCAGUGCCUCACAGUUACACUUUCCAUUUCCAUUUUGCCGCGUGCACCUAAAUCCGCGCCUUCUGUAUUUAUCACCAACUACCUCCGCCUCAAAACGCCGUCGUUCCCAAAGCUAAAAUAAAAAUCUAAAACUACUUUCCCUCUCAUUUCUGUACAAUAUAACACACACACACACACACAGUGACAGAGAGAGAGAGAGAGAGAGAGAGGGUCCGAGUCCGAAUCCGAGUCCGAGAAUCGGGGAGCGCUAAACUACGCCGGGUACGCUAAAGUGCGCCGGGUGGUACUCUACGCCACUAGCGAGAGCCGGAAUCGAGUGUGUUCUCGGCAAUGCGGGUGAGAUCCUCUGCGAUUAUCGCAGUGUUGUCAGUGUUGUUGUUGUUGGUGUGCGAUCCUCUCCUCUGCUUCGGUUCUUGGACGACUCUCUCAGUGAACGAGUCGGAAUCGGCGGAAGCGGUGGUGGUGGUGGAGGAGGAGGAGGAGGGGAUCGUCAAUGCCACGGGAACAGCUGCCGAGUCGAACGCGUCGCGUAGAUCCAAUGAGGACAGCUUGGCCGGCAUGAUAGAUCGCGCUCUACAGAGAGAGUUCCCGGAGAACGAGCAAAACGAAGCCACUGAUUCUGUUGGUAGCUUCAACAAUAGUGUAGCUGAGCAACAGGCAGUUUUGGAAACUGUUGCUAGAGUGAAGCCGAAGAAAAAUGACACUAAGGAGGAAAAGUCGUUUUUCAAUUUGGAUAAUGAAAAUGGAGCAGAAGAUGUGCCAACAUUAAUAGAUCGAAGUGACAAUGUCUUUACUCUAUCCAAUCCAAAGUCGAAGUAUCCUGUGCUUCAAUUAGACUUGAGAUUGAUAUCAGAUUUGGUAGUUGUCAUUGUCUCUGCAACUUGUGGUGGAAUUGCCUUUGCUUGUGCUGGACAACCGGUUAUUACUGGAUAUCUACUAGCAGGGUCUUUAAUUGGACCCGGUGGCUUGAGCUUUGUUAGUGAAAUGGUGCAAGUUGAAACAGUUGCUCAGUUUGGAGUGAUCUUUCUUCUUUUUGCAUUGGGUCUGGAAUUUUCCACGACAAAGCUACGUGUUGUUCGAGCAGUGGCAAUUUUAGGAGGUCUACUCCAGAUUUUCCUAUUUAUGUGCUUGUGUGGAAUACUAACCUCGUUAUGUGGUGGCAAACCUUCGGAAGGGGUAUUUGUUGGUGCACUCCUGUCUAUGUCUUCAACAGCAGUGGUCUUGAAAUUUUUGAUGGAAAAAAAUAGUAUUAAUGCUCUUCACGGUCAAGUCACAAUCGGCAUCCUUAUCCUUCAAGACUGUGCUGUGGGCUUGCUGUUUGCUCUGCUUCCAGUUCUUGGUGGUACUUCUGGAGUUCUUCAAGGAGUAAUAUCCAUUACUAAAUUGUUGGUGGUUCUAAUUACAUUUUUGGCCAUUUUGUCAAUAUUUUCUCGCACAUGCGUACCAUGGUUUCUAAAGCUCAUGAUGAGCCUCUCAUCUCAGACUAAUGAACUCUAUCAAUUGGCAUCGGUGGCAUUUUGCUUACUUGUUGCUUGGUGUAGUGAUAAGCUGGGUUUAAGCCUUGAACUUGGUUCCUUUGCCGCUGGAGUUAUGAUAUCAACAACUGAUCUUGCACAACAUACACUUGAACAAGUUGAACCUAUUCGCAAUUUCUUUGCUGCUCUUUUUCUUGCCAGCAUUGGGAUGUUAAUACAUGUUCAUUUCCUUUGGAACCAUGUUGAUAUUUUACUAGCAACUGUUAUAUUGGUGAUCGUUCUAAAAACAUUUGUGGUUGCGACUGUUGUCAAGGGAUUUAGAUACAGUAACAAGACUUCGAUUCUUGUCGGAAUGUCUCUUGCGCAAAUUGGGGAAUUUUCCUUUGUUCUUCUAAGCCGUGCUUCAAAUCUUCAUCUAAUUGAGGGCAACUUGUAUUUACUGCUGCUUGGUACAACAGCUCUCAGUCUGGUAUGUAAGCCAUUUUAAUACAUGUUGCAAGUGACAAAGUAUGAAAUGCAUCUUUAGAAAUCUUUCUAUAGUAUAUUUGUUGUGAUAAUAUUUACUCAUUGCAGUGUACCAGUAGCCCCUAGCAUACCAAUUUGUUCAGGCAAUUUAAUUAAAGAAAUUCUUUUAUAUGCCAAAAAAUUCUGGGAACAACUCGCCAAUGGACUUUGUGCCCACUGGCUCAUCCACUUCCAGUUAUGGGGUGACUACACCAUUGCUGUUCAAGCUAAUUCCUGCUGUUGUACACCUUGGGGUGUUGACGCGGUGGUUCUCUCCAGAUAGUUCAAGUGAGGUGCUUAAGCGUGCAAAAGGAGGUUGACUAAGUGAGCAGUGCUUUUUUCUAGUGCAAAGUUUGCCCUACUUUUGAUAGCAUUUCCGACCAGGCGAGAAUGGCCACAAUUGGCAAACUGCGACAAAACAGACGGUGCCGAAGAUAUGCAAUCCGCAUGCUGACAUAUUCUAGUUUGAUUUAGGCCCAUCACAUUAUCCUGCUGGAUGGCCUACUAUAUUCUGUAAAUUAGUGUUCAUUUUGUAAUGUAAUUUCAUUUCACCGUUUUCUUUUAGCUGAUUGUCAUAUGCUUUGUUCUAUUGUAUUGAUUUUGUGUAUAAGUCAGAAAUCAAUGCCAUUAUAGUCUCACAGAUGCAUCAAUUCUUUUUUUCUUCA